rnacentral:lncRNA from 1 species
AUGGAGCCAGAGAGGAAUUUGCAUGUAAGUGCUUCCUUGGGAAGAGCAGUCACGAGGAAAACACUUGGAAUUUCCUCUGCAUCCCCGUUUUUAGCCCAGGAGUGCAUGGAGAGCUGGAGGUCAGUUGGGAUAAACGGGACAGGGACCUCCUUUGUAGGGAUUGGAAAACUUGGGAUGGGCAAAUCCUGCUCAAGGAAGGGGAAUAACACAUCCGAGGGCAAAAUAUUCCUGCAUUUCUCCCCUGGAAUUGCCUCUGCUCCCUAUUUGCCCAUACUGGAAAUCCAGGGAAGUUUUUCCAAAGGGGAUGAGCCCCCACGAGUCGCAGAUUCCAGCCCCUCCUUGCGUGGAAGGCAGGGAAGCUCUGCCCACCUUGAGGGUGAAAUAUUUCCAGAUGUUUCCUUUCAAACUGGCUUUGCUUCCUGUGAACCCACACAGGAAAUCCUGGGAAGGUUUUCCAAAGGGGAUGAGCUCCCACAAGUCAUGGACACUCCGGUUUCCAACCUGUCCAUGCAUGGAAAGUAUGGAAUUACCCCUCCUUCCAUGGAAUACUCAGAAGCUCUGCCCACCUUGGGGUUGAAAUAUUCCUGCAUUCCUCCCCUAGAAUUGGCUCUGCUCCCUAUCCACUCAUACUGGAAAUCCUGGGAAGUUUUUCCAAAUGGGAUGAGCCCUCGCAAGUCCCAUUUCCAACCCCUCAUCCCACGGAAUUCCCAGGAGCCGCUGCCGCCUGCGGAGCUCGUCAAUCAGCCCCGAAUGCAGCCAACGUUGAUUAUUUUUAUCCAGGGCCGCUGCGGUGUUUGUGCGCAGGAAUCAGACCAUGAAAUCCCUGGAUCUGGAGCAUUCCCAGCUCUCCGGCACCCGGAGCAGCUGAGCCGUGCCGGGGUGAGGUGUCAAAAGCCUCCGAGUGUCACUCGAUGCCACCUGAUGUCCCCAAGGCGGGCAACGCAGCCGGUGUCGGACACGGGACCCCAGGGCAGGCGGGAGCAGGGCCCGCUCCGGAAUCAACCCCCUGACCCCAAUUCCCAGCCUGGAAAGCGAAAUGUGGGACAAGCACCGCUGGCCUUGGACAAUCCGGCUCAGAGAGAGCGGGAGCAGCAAAUCCGCUUUUCUUUGGGAUCGUUUCGGCCCCUGGAGCUGGAUUGGCCCCACGGGGGUGGCGGAUGCUCCGUGGAUUCCAAGGAUGCAGCGAGGGCUGGGAUGAGGAGAGGGGAAUAUUCCUGA